GAUGAACGCUGGCGGCGUGCCUAAUACAUGCAAGUCGAGCGAAUGGAUUAAGAGCUUGCUCUUAUGAAGUUAGCGGCGGACGGGUGAGUAACACGUAGGUAACCUGCCCAUAAGACUGGGAUAACUCCGGGAAACCGGGGCUAAUACCGGAUAACAUUUUGAACCGCAUGGUUCGAAAUUGAAAGGCGGCUUCGGCUGUCACUUAUGGAUGGACCCGCGUCGCAUUAGCUAGUUGGUGAGGUAACGGCUCACCAAGGCAACGAUGCGUAGCCGACCUGAGAGGGUGAUCGGCCACACUGGGACUGAGACACGGCCCAGACUCCUACGGGAGGCAGCAGUAGGGAAUCUUCCGCAAUGGACGAAAGUCUGACGGAGCAACGCUGCGUGAGUGAUGAAGGCUUUCGGGUCGUAAAACUCUGUUGUUAGGGAAGAACAAGUGCUAGUUGAAUAAGCUGGCACCUUGACGGUACCUAACCAGAAAGCCACGGCUAACUACGUGCCAGCAGCCGCAGUAA
rnacentral:rRNA from 1 species